rnacentral:rRNA from 1 species
GUGUUUAUUGUACCUUGUUGCUUCGGUGCGCCCGCCUCACGGCCGCCGGGGGGCUUCUGCCCCCGGGUCCGCGCGCACCGGAGACACUAUUGAACUCUGUCUGAAGAUUGCAGUCUGAGCAUAAACUAAAUAAGUUAAAACUUUCAACAACGGAUCUCUUGGUUCCGGCAUCGAUGAAGAACGCAGCGAAAUGCGAUAACUAAUGUGAAUUGCAGAAUUCAGUGAAUCAUCGAGUCUUUGAACGCACAUUGCGCCCCCUGGUAUUCCGGGGGGCAUGCCUGUCCGAGCGUCAUUGCUGCCCUCAAGCACGGCUUGUGUGUUGGGCUCCGUCCCCCCGGGGACGGGUCCGAAAGGCAGCGGCGGCACCGAGUCCGGUCCUCGAGCGUAUGGGGCUUUGUCACCCGCUCUGUAGGCCCGGCCGGCGCCAGCCGACAACCAAUCAUCCUUUUUUCAGGUUGACCUCGGAUCAGGUAGGGAUACCCGCUGAACUUAAGCAUAUCAA